UACGUAGGGGGCUAGCGUUGUUCGGAUUUACUGGGCGUAAAGCGCGCGUAGGCGGGUCGGUAAGUCGGGGGUGAAAUCCUGGAGCUCAACUCCAGAACUGCCUUCGAUACUGGCGACCUAGAGUCCGGAAGAGGUGAGUGGAACUCCUAGUGUAGAGGUGGAAUUCGUAGAUAUUAGGAAGAACACCAGUGGCGAAGGCGGCUCACUGGUCCGGUACUGACGCUGAGGUGCGAAAGCGUGGGGAGCAAACAGG
rnacentral:rRNA from 1 species